UACAGAGGGUGCGAGCGUUGUCCGGAAUUACUGGGCGUAAAGGGCGCGUAGGCGGCUUGAUAUGUAGGGGGUGAAAUUUCGAGGCUUAACCUCGAAACUGCCUUCUAAACUGUCUGGCUUGAGCACGGUAGAGGCAGAUGGAAUUCCCGGUGUAGCGGUGGAAUGCGUAGAGAUCGGGAAGAACACCAGUGGCGAAGGCGGUCUGCUGGGCCGUUGCUGACGCUGAGGCGCGACAGCGUGGGGAGCAAACAGG
rnacentral:rRNA from 1 species